AUGCACGUUACACUCCAUGGGAGCUGCCCUUUCAGGAACUUGGUUUUGAGCUGUAAAGACUCCCACUAUGUCUCCUGAAGGUCAUGAUUCUUCUCAAAAUAUAUUGGCUACUUGAGAGAUGUCAUUACACUCCUGUGAUUUAUACAGAAGCAUACUGUCUUGUCCACUCUGACUGGCGGGCUUCCCCAUCAAGAAGUCUCUUAGUGAAACUCCAUGCUGCUCAGGUGUUUCCCUGGCAGAUCGCUUACAUGUCUGAUUUCAUCUUGGCAUCUGCUUGCAAGAGAACCCUAAGUGAUCCAACAAGAAAAAUAAGAAAAAUUUCCUCUGGGCUCCUCUAGACUCCACUGAUCAAUAGCAAGUGAAUCCUUUUCUAGGAAUUAAUGGCGACACUCAAC